GUGGGGAAUCUUAGACAAUGGGCGCAAGCCUGAUCUAGCCAUGCCGCGUGAGCGAUGAAGGCCUUAGGGUUGUAAAGCUCUUUCGUGGGGGAAGAUAAUGACUGUACCCCAAGAAGAAGCCCCGGCUAACUCCGUGCCAGCAGCCGCGGUAAUACGGAGGGGGCUAGCGUUGUUCGGAAUUACUGGGCGUAAAGCGCACGUAGGCGGACUGGAAAGUCAGGGGUGAAAUCCCGGGGCUCAACCCCGGAACUGCCUUUGAAACUCCCAGUCUUGAGUUCGAGAGAGGUGAGUGGAAUUCCGAGUGUAGAGGUGAAAUUCGUAGAUAUUCGGAGGAACACCAGUGGCGAAGGCGGCUCACUGGCUCGAUACUGACGCUGAGGUGCGAAAGCGUGGGGAGCAAACAGGAUUAGAAACCCGGGUAGUCC
rnacentral:rRNA from 1 species